AGAGUUUGAUCAUGGCUCAGAACGAACGUUGGCGGCGUGGAUUAGGCAUGCAAGUCGAACGAAUCCCGUAGCAAUACGGGGGAAGUGGCGAAAGGGGCAGUAAUGUAUGGAUAACCUACCCUGGGGUUGGGCAUAGCCGUUCUAACGGACGGGUAAUACCCAGCGAUUCGGCGAGGUGGCAUCGCUUUGCCGGGAAAGAAUUUCGCCUCGGGAGGGGUCCAUAUUGUAUUACCUAGUUGGUGAGGUAACGGCUCACCAAGGGGAAGAUGCAUAGCGGGUGUGAGAGCACGACCCGCGCCACUGGCACUGUGACACUGGCCAGACACCUACGGGUGGCUGCAGUCGAGGAUCUUCGUCAAUGGGCGAAAGCCUGAACGAGCGACGCCGCGUGUGCGAUGAAGGCCUUCGGGUUGUAAAGCACAAAAGUGGGGAUAAAGCCGAAAGGUUGAUUGAUCCACAGUAAGCUCGGGCUAAGUUCGUGCCAGCAGCCGCGGUAAGACGAACCGAGCGAACGUUGUUCGGAAUAACUGGGCUUAAAGGGCGCGUAGGCGGGUGAUCAAGUCGGUGGUGAAAUCCUACAGCUCAACUGUAGAACUGCCUUCGAUACUGGUUACCUCGAGCAAGGUAGGGGCGUACGGAACUGUUGGUGGAGCGGUGAAAUGCGUUGAUAUCAACAGGAACUCCGGUGGCGAAAGCGGUACGCUGGACCUUUUCUGACGCUGAGGCGCGAAAGCUAGGGGAGCAAACGGGAUUAGAUACCCCGGUAGUCCUAGCCCUAAACGUUGGGUACUAGAUAGUAGUCUAACAUGGGAUUACUGUCGAAGUUAAAAUGCUAAGUACCCCGCCUGGGGAGUAUGGUCGCAAGGCUGAAACUCAAAGGAAUUGACGGGGGCUCACACAAGCGGUGGAGCAUGUGGCUUAAUUCGAGGCUACGCGAAGAACCUUAUCCUAGACUUGACAUGUGCGAAAGCGUUAGGAAGUAACUUGCGGAAACGUUAAGUGAACGGUAUCCAGUCCGGAACCUAAUACAGGUGCUGCAUGGCUGUCGUCAGCUCGUGUCGUGAGAUGUCGGGUUAAGUCCCAUAACGAGCGAAACCCUUACCCUUAGUUGCAACCUUCGGGGCACUCUAGGGGGACUGCCGGUGUUAAACCGGAGGAGGGCGGGGAUGACGUCAAGUCCUCAUGGCCUUUACGUCUAGGGCUGCACACGUGCUACAAUGGCGUGAACAAAGGGAAGCAAACUCGCGAGAGGGAGCAAAUCCCAAAAAACACGCCCCAGUUCAGAUCGAAGGCUGCAACUCGCCUUCGUGAAGUUGGAAUCGCUAGUAAUCGCGGGUCAGCAACACCGCGGUGAAUGUGUUCCUGAGCCUUGUACACACCGCCCGUCAAGCCACGAAAGAGGGGAGCGCCCGAAGCCGCUAACGCGUCGAAGGCGAAACCCUUGAUUGGGACUAAGUCGUAACAAGGUAACC
rnacentral:rRNA from 1 species